rnacentral:rRNA from 1 species
CCUACGGGAGGCAGCAGUGAGGAAUAUUGGUCAAUGGGCGGAAGCCUGAACCAGCCAAGUCGCGUGAGGGAAUAAGGCCCUACGGGUCGUAAACCUCUUUUGCCGGGGAGCAAGGGCGGGGACGUGUCCCGGCCCGGAGAGUACCCGGAGAAAAAGCAUCGGCUAACUCCGUGCCAGCAGCCGCGGUAAUACGGAGGAUGCGAGCGUUAUCCGGAUUUAUUGGGUUUAAAGGGUGCGUAGGCGGAUUUUUAAGUCAGCGGUAAAAUGUCCGGGCUCAACCCGGGCCGGCCGUUGAAACUGGGGAUCUUGAGUGGGCGAGAAGUAUGCGGAAUGCGUGGUGUAGCGGUGAAAUGCAUAGAUAUCACGCAGAACUCCGAUUGCGAAGGCAGCAUACCGGCGCCCGACUGACGCUGAGGCACGAAAGCGUGGGGAUCGAACAGGAUUAGAUACCCCUGUAGUC